rnacentral:tRNA from 1 species
GGCUCCAUAGUGCAGCGGUUACAACAUCUGCUUUACACACAGAAGGUCCUGGGUUUGCACCCUAGUAAAGCCA